ACAGCUGUGUUCCCCGUGUGUUUCCACUUCCCUCGUCAUACCGUUUCCCUUUGGUCAUUGCUGGGUCAUCUGUUCUUAUAAUGCCAUGUUUCAGGUAUCCAUUUCUAGGUUCCAUGUUUCAUGAGCCACCUUUCCUUUUUUCAAGUGUUUAGUGUUUUGUCAUGGUCCCUGUGUAUCCUGGGCCGGCCCCACGAGGCUACAUUUAUUUAUUGUAAUACUGCUCUCUCUCAUGACUCUGCCUGGGCAGAUCUCACUGUGGGCCUCCACCUUUUGCCCACGCACAUGUCUCCAAUCACUCAGCUAUCGUGUUUCUAUGCCAUUUAAAGCUGGGGCUCAGAUUCCCUCGUCGCUGGAUGAUUGUGGUUGACACUUUCCCCAGACCUGUGACCAACCCAGUCUCUCAGAGUGGGAGCUACUGUCGUGGCUGAGUGAGGAUUCUCUUUUGUGUGGAACUGUGUUGUGGAGCGCGAGUGUGAGAGACCCUUCCCCCCCUCUCUGAAUCACCCUUAUGGACCUCUGGGACCCCGGAUUUCUCCCCAGCUGUACAUAUUUAGCUACUGGUGUUUUCUGUAAAUGAAGAGCUGUGUAACUGAAACUGUGACUUUCAGUCUGCGCUUGAGUUCCCAUCUGCUCACCGUGAGAUGUUUAGGUUAGCUCUCCCAGUUUCGUCUCUUUACCUCUGACUUUGUUGCCUUUUGCCAUCAGCCCCAAAUAAACCAUCUCGCUUUUGUUCAGUUCCGUCUCAGCUGUGCUGUCUGCAUUUGGGUCCUCACUUAAAACAUAUGAUCUGCCGCCAGCAAUCAUGACAGGGCUGGGAAAUGUUGGUUUAGUUUGUUCAAAGCACAUCAUGUAAGCCAGCGGUCCCCAACCCCCAGGCCAUGGACCGGUACUGGAAGGGAUAACAGGACUAAUUACUGCCAUCAGCUGAUCCCAUGUGUAAAUAAUGCAGCUUUCCAUUCCAAAAAACCCAAAAAACAAGCAAAGCAAUAGAAAGGUUUGCUUUCUUUUGUUUGACAUACUGUCAUGAUAAAAAAUAACUGUUUAAGGAAGUUGUGGCUGGAAAAGGUGUACGUGAACAUUUGAUGAGUUUCCUAACUGCCAUGUUUAUGUGCCACAAACACCCACUCAGUAGACAUAAUUUAGCUCCAGACUCAUUAGUUUUGAUUUCCUGCCUGAGGAAACCAUUGCUGAGACAGCACACUGAA